UCCUGACAUUAAAGGUGAAAAAAGUUCUGAAAUGAUCUAUCUUGGUAUGUGUACUUACCGCAGAUGUGCUAUUUUUAAACUGAAUGAUGUCAUAGCCAAGAUCAAGUAGCUCAGCUUGUUUAAGCUGAGGAAUCUGACACUGAAACAGUUUUGAUAAGUAUCUGGCUCUGUUAAUCCAGUUUUCUGCAACCCACAGAAACUCUCACACUGAACCUUAAAUAUAUCAGAACAAAAGAUCUCAGUCUCCUGCACCCAGCAAUGUGUCUAUGCGGAGUGACAAGUCAAUGAACGCAACUAUAGUGUUUCAACAGGCAGAGAAAGAAAGAUACCAGAAAGAAAAAUCUCACGCACCUGUACCCAGCAUUGUGUCUAUGCGGAGUGACAAGUCAAUGAACGCAACAAUAGUGUUUCAACAGACAGAAAAAGAAAGGGUUAUUAAUCAGAAGAAUUUUGCAUCACCUAAACAUUGUUUGGUGUCUAUGAAGAGCGAUCAGUCACUGGGUUCACCAACAGUGCUGCA